rnacentral:rRNA from 1 species
UACGUAGGGCGCAAGCGUUGUCCGGAGUUAUUGGGCGUAAAGAGCUCGUAGGCGGCUUGUCACGUCGGGUGUGAAAGCCCGGGGCUUAACCCCGGGUCUGCAUUCGAUACGGGCAGGCUAGAGUGUGGUAGGGGAGAUCGGAAUUCCUGGUGUAGCGGUGAAAUGCGCAGAUAUCAGGAGGAACACCGGUGGCGAAGGCGGAUCUCUGGGCCAUUACUGACGCUGAGGAGCGAAAGCGUGGGGAGCGAACAGG